rnacentral:rRNA from 1 species
CUACGGGCGGCAGCAGUCGAGAAUCUUCCGCAAUGGACGAAAGUCUGACGGAGCGACGCCGCGUGCGGGAUGAAGGCCUUCGGGUUGUAAACCGCUGUCAGUGGGGAGGAAAUGCAUCAGGGUUCUCCCUGGUGUUUGACCGAUCCGCAGAGGAAGCGCAGGCUAAGUUCGUGCCAGCAGCCGCGGUAACACGAACUGCGCGAACGUUAUUCGGAAUCACUGGGCUUAAAGAGUUCGUAGGCGGCCUUUCAAGUCGGGUGUGAAAUCCCUCGGCUCAACCGAGGAAUUGCGCCUGAUACUGUUGGGCUUGAGGGGGAUAGGGGUGAGCGGAACUGAUGGUGGAGCGGUGAAAUGCGUUGAUAUCAUCAGGAACACCGGUGGCGAAGGCGGCUCACUGGAUCUCUUCUGACGCUGAGGAACGAAAGCUAGGGGAGCGAACGGGAUUAGAUACCCCCGUAGUC